GUGGACGUGAGCGUAACAUGGGAGCUUCGAUGAAUACCGAAUAGAGAUCGUAUAGAAGCUCAGAGGCUGCACCUGUCAUUCACAUAGACAGCUGCCAUUUCAGGUCUGUCUUAGGAGUGGCACACCCCAGAAAGCUCGCCUUCGUGCAUAGCGUUUGCCACCAGCAUUUCCAGGAAAACAUUACAGAAGCAUAAGCUGCAGCUGCCCGGAAGUGUGAGAAGCAGCCAGGGAUCUUUUAAUGCUAUCAUGUUCCACUCUUAAAGGCGCAGCUUAAGUGUCCUCCAACCUUUUUUUUUUUUUUGCUGUUUGGGGACUGCCUUCUUGAAGGUGUUGCUUCGUUUCCUUUCUGCUGUUGGGCGAAUGUAAUAUCUGCUUUGAACAACAGCAAAGCCACAUUUUGAUUGCACUUGAUGCUGGCUGCACUAGUGCGGCAUCUCUCCUGAACACUAUCCAACAGUUCACUAUGAUGUUAUCACUGAAAUAGAAUACACAAGACACCUUCGUGUACCACUUCAUCUACCUCGAAGUAAUAUGCCAUAGCUCUAUGAUCAUAUCCUUAACAUCCACUACUUUCUUGGAUUCAUUUCAGAUAGCUGGAAUGUACAGACUAAAAAAGCUCGGAAGCGCUUGCGCUCUUUGGAGAAUUUUGUAUGAGCAUUUUCAGGCUGUUCUGGUGACACUAAAAAAUACUGGCUCACCUGUAAUCGAGAGUGGAUGUAAGCACGAAAUGGCUGCCAACAAAGCAGAUUGAUUGUAGAUGAUACUAGCCACAAUCUUAAAAUGGGUGUAGCGUACAUUCCCAACGGCACACCCCACCCCACCCCACCGCACCACGCAACUGUACACUGGUCCAUAUGCAAGCAAGUUUCCUGUCAAAGACAGAACCCCAUUGCAAGUCUCGUUUCGGUCCACCAGAUGCGCCGUGGACCUCGCGGACUGCUGGCAUUGAAAAGAGCACUAGCAACUGUGUCUCAGUGCCAAAAAAUGACAAUCAAGUGUACAGUGCCUUGUAUCUGCCUCUGAACGUCGCUAUUAGAAGUGACCAAUAAAACUUCAGCGUACUAGAAGUUACAGCUUGAGUGAUAUUGUGAACAAAUAUUUAGAACUCGGGAGCAAUAUUUUUUGUAACAUGUUUGGGAAGUAACUAGCAUAUGUAUUGCAGUCUUGACUGUUUGCCCGGAUGAGCUGGUUUGAGUGACAGGAUAAUGACUCUGGCUUUUGGUUCAUUAAGGUGGCUGACAACAGGAGCUAAAAGCAUUUCAUGCUUAAAAUGUCUGCAGCAGCGGCACUGUUCGGUUAGUCAAGGACCUCAUUUCAUGGCCCUCAUUCUGACACCUUCGAACACUGUUUCUGCCUUUGUAACGCUUCCUAGAAUUUAUCCUUCAAAUUCUUAUGUGAAAGAACCAUGCAUCAAUUUUGGCGUAUUUCUCAAACUGUACGAGCAGAAUUGCUGCUGAUUUCAUAAAUACAACCUAUAAAUCAAUACAGCAGAAUUGUUAGUUGAAAUAUGUAAUCCAAAUCAAGGAGCCAUUCUCAAGACGAUGUUCCCGCUGGCACUGAUGCGUGGCAUUCCUGGCGUUGGUGAAACCUUUAUUCUACAUGAUAAAGCAUGAAACAUUCACACGUGCUCUUCUUUGCUUCUUUUUUGAGCUUUGCUGUUUCAAGGAGCUUUGCCCUUUGAGUGGCAGCAGCCUGAUUGACAUAGCUUCUGACUCACAUAUUUAACAUUUUUGCACAGAUUGGUCAAGGAGUAGCCAGAUUUUGAGACGUACAUCUUUAGCAGAGUCUAUAGGUGCUGGCUUUUGGUGUGGAGAGACAAGCAGCUUCAUAGCUUCCCUCCUGUCUCUUGUCAUUGUGUCAGCAAACUGAAAUGAAAACUCUCGAAACAGUAUAUUUGCUAAUGAGGAAUCUUUGCAAGGCACAUUGUGAAGCGCAUGCCGAUGAAUUGCUUCAACCUUUUACAUUAAACAAAUUAUGCCAUGUGCUGUCGAGAGGCAAAUAAAGCUGUUCGCUUUAAAAAUUAACAAUAAUAUCCGCAGUUUGUGAAGUGAUUGAGAUAUUGUUACGCAGUACCUUCAACAAAGAUGUUAUGGGAAACAGUGCAAGGAACUAGCAUACUUGCACUAAUUGCAGGUAUUUGGCGGAGUUGUAUGGGAGACAAGAUAGCCAACCAAUUUUCCUCUAAUGCAUGUGAGCUUUGUCAUCCUCAUGGUGUAAUGUAAUCGUUUCAGGUAGCGGAUAAAGAAUGUGUGGCAACAUGAAAUGGCCUUUGACGACACAGGCGAGUAGUGGAUGCCACACUUCAGUUCUAAUUAAAGUUACAUCAGCACAGAGCUUGUAUGCUACGACCAAGUUGGGUCCAUACUUUGGAUUACUGUGUACAGUGUCACUCUCUUCAGCAUUGCAGAAGAUGGAAGCCAGUGUUUCUUUGCCGUUGCCAUUUCAAUUUAGUAUAUUUUCAUGUUUUCAUGCUCUGCAAGAUACAGCCAGAGGUUGCACGGUCUUGAAAUGAAGCCUACUUUUUGUGUUUUCAAGAUAAAGUUUUAGCUAUAAUAAACGGAAUUUCCAAAAAACAAAUAUUAUGUUUGGCCUGCCUUCUUUUGGGUGAUCAGACAUGGGAGCCAUUGAGGCAUCAUGGCUCAUACGUGCUCCAUUUAUGCUUGAGAGGUGUGUGCACAAUGCUCCUUGCAUGUUGAAAAAAAAAAAAAAAAUGGAGACCACCCAUAAUUGGUGUUGGUUUGCUUUCUUAGCCACAAGUGUUAUCUGAAAAUAUAGCUGGUUUUUGUUACUCUUUCUGGCGGUGCGUUUUAGAUGCAUAAAAAUUAUGAUGGAUGUGCAUGUUCAGUGUGAUUGCAGGAACGAGAAACUUUACUAGAAGAUCCUUUGCAAGAGAUGCAAGUGCUUGCCCAUUUCAUGAAAAAAAAAAAGGCUUUGUUUUCAUUGUAUACAGUAAGCUAAGGGUCAGGCGGACUUGAUCACAAAAGCAAAGAGAGAAAUUGGUUGACAGAGAAAUGCAAAGCCUGCAGACCACAUCGUAACUGUCUAGCGCAUAGACAACACCUGCACGUUGGCCAACAGCAUGGGAAAGGAGAAGGGAUGGAAAGAUGAAAGAGAUUGCCAUGAAGCACAUGUGGUGAAAAGGAGAAUGAAGCAAGAAUUGGUAGCAUUCAGAAAAAGCUAGAUAUUCUUGAGAAAACUGAAACAUUGGACAAAUAAUAGCAACCUUUAUCAAGUCUUACUGCCGUAUUCAGCAAUACAUCUUGAAGCUCAUGCUUGACUUGAUAUAAAUGACGUAUGGUGUGAAUGUGCCCAAGAUG